CCUACGGGUGGCAGCAGUGAGGAAUAUUGGUCAAUGGACGCAAGUCUGAACCAGCCAUGCCGCGUGCAGGAAGAAGGUCCUAUGCAUUGUAAACUGCUUUUAUACGGGAGUAAUUACAGGUACGUGUAUCUGGCUGAAAGUACCGUAUGAAUAAGGAUCGGCUAACUCCGUGCCAGCAGCCGCGGUAAUACGGGGGAUCCGAGCGUUAUCCGGAUUUAUUGGGUUUAAAGGGUGCGUAGGCGGUCAUGUAAGUUAGAGGUGAAAGCUCGAGGAUCAAAACCGAAACGGCCGUUGAUACUGGCGGACUAGAGUGUAGUUGCGGAAGGCGGAAUGUGUGGUGUAGCGGUGAAAUGCGUAGAUAUUAGGAGGAACACCAGUGGCGAAGGCGGCUUACUGGACUGUAACUGACGUUGAGGCUCGAAAGCGUGGGGAGCAAACAGGAUUAGAUACCCUGGUAGUC
rnacentral:rRNA from 1 species